ACCUGCCCCUGACUCUGGGAUAAGCGCUGGAAACGGUGUCUAAUACUGGAUACGACCCAUAGAGGCAUCUUUUGUGGGUGGAAAGAUUUAUCGGUUGGGGAUGGACUCGCGGCCUAUCAGCUUGUUGGUGAGGUAGUGGCUCACCAAGGCGACGACGGGUAGCCGGCCUGAGAGGGUGACCGGCCACACUGGGACUGAGACACGGCCCAGACUCCUACGGGAGGCAGCAGUGGGGAAUAUUGCACAAUGGGCGCAAGCCUGAUGCAGCAACGCCGCGUGAGGGAUGACGGCCUUCGGGUUGUAAACCUCUUUUAGUAGGGAAGAAGCCUUCGGGUGACGGUACCUGCAGAAAAAGCACCGGCUAACUACGUGCCAGCAGCCGCGGUAAUACGUAGGGUGCAAGCGUUGUCCGGAAUUAUUGGGCGUAAAGAGCUCGUAGGCGGCUUGUCGCGUCUGCUGUGAAAUCCCGGAGCUCAACUCCGGGCCUGCAGUGGGUACGGGCAGGCUAGAGUGCGGUAGGGGAGAUUGGAAUUCCUGGUGUAGCGGUGGAAUGCGCAGAU
rnacentral:rRNA from 1 species